CUACGUGCCAGCAGCCGCGGUAAUACGGAAGGUCCAGGCGUUAUCCGGAUUUAUUGGGUUUAAAGGGAGCGUAGGCUGGAGAUUAAGUGUGUUGUGAAAUGUAGACGCUCAACGUCUGAAUUGCAGCGCAUACUGGUUUCCUUGAGUACGCACAACGUUGGCGGAAUUCGUCGUGUAGCGGUGAAAUGCUUAGAUAUGACGAAGAACUCCGAUCGCGAAGGCAGGUGUCCGGGCUGCAACUGACGCUGAGGCUCGAAAGUGUGGGUAUCAAACAGGAUUAGAUACCCUGGUAGUCCACMCAGUAAACGAUGUAUACUCGCGGUUUGCGAUAGACAGUAAGCCGCCAAGCGAAAGCAUUAAGCAUCCCACCUGGGGAGUACGCCGGCAACGGUGAAACUCAAAGGAAUUGACGGGGGCCCGCACAAGCGGAGGAACAUGUGGUUUAAUUCGAUGAUACGCGAGGAACCUUACCCGGGCUUGAAUUGCAGUCGCUGCCCACAGAGA
rnacentral:rRNA from 1 species